UGCAAAUUUCUCCUGGAAAUCGGAUGAAGAUCAAGAUAUCAGGGGUCGUAGAGGUUUCAUUUUAUCUGUCGUCCGAAGCAAACAAGUACAAGAAAUGAAAAAAGUUCUUCAAAAUCUUGACUUCGAAAUUAGAGACUGGACACUUAGCAGUGCAUCCAUGGAUUGUUAUUUUAAGAUGGUAUCCGAAAUGGAACCAGACGUGGGCUGCAUUAUGACUUGCAUAUUCGGACCUGUGUGUGAAAAUGAACAGAAAGAGGUUUGUGUACGUGUGGGCCAAGAUGCUCGUCCAAUCGCAGACAUCCUACACAGUUUGGUCGGCCCUAAAAACCAUAAAUUGAUAGGAAAGCCGAAAAUUCUGUUCGUUGUUAACGUGAAAGCUCCUCAAACGGACAGUAUCUCAAUGCUCAUGAAAGAUUUACAAGUCUCUGCUACAAACCACAGUGGAUGGCUAGUAUUGAUUUUAAAAUAUGAAG